rnacentral:rRNA from 1 species
UACGAAGGGUGCAAGCGUUACUCGGAAUUACUGGGCGUAAAGCGUGCGUAGGUGGUUUGUUAAGUCUGUUGUGAAAGCCCCGGGCUCAACCUGGGAAUGGCAAUGGAUACUGGCAGGCUAGAGUGCGGUAGAGGGUAGUGGAAUUCCCGGUGUAGCGGUGAAAUGCGUAGAGAUCGGGAGGAACACCAGUGGCGAAGGCGGCUACCUGGACCAGCCACUGACACUGAGGCACGAAAGCGUGGGGAGCAAACAGG